UUCUCCAUCUAACUGCCACACAGCUGAACACCAUGAUCCUCAACACAGCUACUCUCACUGCUCUUGCCUUCACUCUCUGUGGUCUGGAGGCCCUGGUCUUGACCCAGGAGAAAUCUCUAACAGCUCAGCUGGGGCAGAAUGUGAAGAUCCCCUGCUCACCAAGCAGAUUACCAAGUGGCGGUAACUGGGUAUUAACGUGGUACCAACAGAAGGAUGACGGAGUGAAGUUCUUAUUAGUAGACAGCACCAGAGCUAGUGGACUACCCAGCAGAUUCACUUACUCUGGAUCUGGGAGUCAGGAGUAUCUGCACAUCAAUGGAGUGACUGCUGAAGAUGAGGCUACUUAUUACUGUGCCUGUCACGGCUGUGAGCCAUCUGGUGCAUCUCACAGUGAUUCAGUGUCAUGA